rnacentral:rRNA from 1 species
GAUGAACGCUGGCGGCGUGCCUAAUACAUGCAAGUCGAGCGAACAGACGAGGAGCUUGCUCCUCUGACGUUAGCGGCGGACGGGUGAGUAACACGUGGAUAACCUACCUAUAAGACUGGGAUAACUUCGGGACACCGGAGCUAAUACCGGAUAAUAUAUUGAACCGCAUGGUUCAAUAGUGAAAGACGGUUUUGCUGUCACUUAUAGAUGGACCCCGGCCGUAUUAGCUAGUUGGUAAGGUAACGGCUUACCAAGGCGACGAUGCGUAGCCGACCGGAGAGGGGGAUCGGCCACACUGGAACUGAGACACGGUCAAGACUACUACGGGAGGCAGCAGUAGGGAAUCGUCCGCAAUGGGCGAAAGCCUGACGGAGCAACGCCGCGUGAGUGAUGAAGGUCUUCGGAUCGUAAAACUCUGUUAUUAGGGAAGAACAAAUGUGUAAGUAAAUAUGCACGUCUUGACGGUACCUAAUCAGAAAGCCACGGCUAACUACGUG